rnacentral:rRNA from 1 species
CCUACGGGUGGCAGCAGUGAGGAAUAUUGGUCAAUGGACGUGAGCCUGAACCAGCCAAGUAGCGUGAAGGAUGACUGUUCUAUGGGUCGUAAACCUCUUUUAUAUGGGAAUAAAAUAUGGUACGUAUACUCUUUUGUAUGUACCAUAUGAAUAAGGAUCGGCUAACUCCGUGCCAGCAGCCGCGGUAAUACGGAGGAUCCGAGCGUUAUCCGGAUUUAUUGGGUUUAAAGGGUGCGUAGGUGGCUUGUUAAGUCAGUUGUGAAAGUGUGCGGCUCAACCGUAAAAUUGCAGUUGAAACUGGCAGUCUUGAGUACAGUAGAGGUAGGCGGAAUGCGUGGUGUAGCGGUGAAAUGCUUAGAUAUCACGAAGAACUCCGAUUGCGAAGGCAGCUCACUAGACUGCGACUGACACUGAUGCACGAAAGUGUGGGUAUCAAACAGGAUUAGAUACCCGGGUAGUC